UACGGAGGGAGCUAGCGUUGUUCGGAAUUACUGGGCGUAAAGCGCACGUAGGCGGCUUUUCAAGUCAGGGGUGAAAUCCCGGGGCUCAACCCCGGAACUGCCCUUGAAACUGGAUGGCUAGAAUACUGGAGAGGUGAGUGGAAUUCCGAGUGUAGAGGUGAAAUUCGUAGAUAUUCGGAAGAACACCAGUGGCGAAGGCGACUCACUGGACAGUUAUUGACGCUGAGGUGCGAAAGCGUGGGGAGCAAACAGGAUUAGAUACCCCCGUAGUCC
rnacentral:rRNA from 1 species